AUUGAACGCUGGCGGCAUGCCUUACACAUGCAAGUCGAACGGCAGCACGGGAGCAAUCCUGGUGGCGAGUGGCGAACGGGUGAGUAAUAUAUCGGAACGUGCCCAGUCGUGGGGGAUAACGUAGCGAAAGCUACGCUAAUACCGCAUACGAUCUAUGGAUGAGAGCGGGGGAUCGCAAGACCUCGCCCGAUUGGAGCGGCCGAUAUCAGAUUAGGUAGUUGGUGGGGUAAAGGCCCACCAAGCCUGCGAUCUGUAGCUGGUCUGAGAGGACGACCAGCCACACUGGGACUGAGACACGGCCCAGACUCCUACGGGAGGCAGCAGUGGGGAAUUUUGGACAAUGGGCGCAAGCCUGAUCCAGCAAUGCCGCGUGCAGGACGAAGGCCUUCGGGUUGUAAACUGCUUUUGUACGGAGCGAAAAGGCUCUCUCUAAUACAGGGGGCACAUGACGGUACCGUAAGAAUAAGCACCGGCUAACUACGUGCCAGCCGCCGCCGUAAGAC
rnacentral:rRNA from 1 species